AUCCGGAAGGGGUUACUAGGUGAACACUGCCGGAGGGAGAGCGCUCUGAAAUCCAUUCUUCAGCCGCACGUGGAAAAUGGACAGCUGUGACUCUUAAAGAGAAUUAAAGCAACAAAGCAUCUCAGCCUGCUCUAUGAGCUGGAUAUUUCGUAGGAAGGAGCCGAUUUGGCGAAAGUUACGUAAACAAUGGAAUUGUCUCAGUUUGCGCCUUUGUUUCGUUUGACAGCCCUCCAGGGAGUCAUAGUGAUUGCUGGAGACGGUGAACUAACACUGUGGGGACCCUUGUGCUAAACGUGUCAAGUGGCACAACAAGGAUAGGAACACGGGUCCUUUGGACUCCACAGCUUCUGCUCCUUCCAGAUUAAGCCACACUGCUUUCUCCAAGUUGUUACUGUAGUAACAUCAUUUUGGCUGCAGUUUGUGGAUGGGUUGGAAGAUGGGAAGUCAAUGCAGAACCACCGUGCCCGGCCCCAAGAAUUUUUUUUAAUAAGAAAUUUUGUAGAACCUU
rnacentral:lncRNA from 10 species